GAUGAACGCUGGCGGCGUGCCUAAUACAUGCAAGUCGAGCGAACAGACGAGGAGCUUGCUCCUCUGAUGUUAGCGGCGGACGGGUGAGUAACACGUGGAUAACCUACCUAUAAGACUGGGAUAACUUCGGGAAACCGGAGCUAAUACCGGAUAACAUGUUGAACCGCAUGGUUCAACAGUGGAAGAGGGUCUUGCUGUCACCUAUAGAUGGAUCCGCGCCGGAUUAGCUAGUUGGUAAGGUAACGGCUUACCAAGGCAACGAUGCGUAGCCGACCUGAGAGGGUGAUCAGCCACACUGGAACUGAGACACGGCCCAGACUCCUACGGGAGGCAGCAGUAGGGAAUCUUCCGCAAUGGGCGAAAGCCUGACGGAGCAACGCCGCGUGAGUGAAGAAGGUCUUCGGAUCGUAAAACUCUGUUAUUAGGGAAGAACAAAUGUGUAAGUAACUAUGCACGUCUUGACGGUACCUAAUCAGAAAGCCACGGCUAACUACGUG
rnacentral:rRNA from 1 species